GCCAGCGUAGUCUAGCGUGUUGAGUGUUGGACUAUGACUCUGGAGACCAGGGUUCGAUUCCCCGCUCAGCCA